UACGUAGGCAGCAAGCGUUGUUCGGAAUUACUGGGCGUAAAGAGUGUGUAGGCGGUGCUCUAAGUUCGGUGUGAAAUCUCCCGGCUUAACUGGGAGGGUGCGCCGGAAACUGGAGUGCUUGAGCGCGGGAGAGGAAAGCGGAAUUCCGUGGUGUAGCGGUGAAAUGCGUAGAUAUCAGGAGGAACACCUGUGGUGUAGACGGCUUUCUGGACCGUAGCUGACGCUGAGACACGAAAGCGUGGGUAGCAAACAGG
rnacentral:rRNA from 1 species